GACGAACGCUGGCGGCGUGCUUAACACAUGCAAGUCGAGCGGAAAGACCCUGCUCUUGUUGGGUGCUCGAGUGGCGAACGGGUGAGUAACACGUGAGUAACCUCCCCUUGACUUUGGGAUAACUUCAGGGAACUGCGGCUAUUACCCGGUAGAAGCUCCUGCUGCGUGGUGUGGGUUGGUAAGUUUCGGCUGUUGGGGAUGGGCUCGCUGCUUAUCCGCUUCUUUGUGGAGUAGGGGCUUCCCAAGGCUUUGACGGGUAGCCGGCCUGAGAGGGUGACCGGGGACAUGGGGACUGCGGUAGGGACCAGAAGGGUACGGGCGGCAGUAGUGGGGAACAUGGCACAAUGGGCGGAAGCCUGAGGCAGAAAUGUCGGGAGCGGAAUGCUGUCUUUUGGGUUGUAAACCGAUUUGGACGGUGAUGAAGCGUGAGUGACGGUAAUUGGUAAAGAAGCAACGGCUAACUACGUG
rnacentral:rRNA from 1 species